rnacentral:sRNA from 1 species
GGCGGGGCUGAUGACUCACGCAGUCGGGCCUCCGCCCCGCCGGGCCGCGCGCACGUGAGCGCGCAGCUCGGCCGGUCUAAUUUUAGCUCUGAGGUGUCAGGGUCGUGUGAGCUUCUGGCACCAUGAAAACACGGAGAAAGGUUAUAGGUCAGUUCCAGUUCUAUUUUUCUGUCCCGUAACCAAGGAACGUGGGAUCUUUAGCCAAUGGAGUCUCACCAUCUUGUUCUGCACCCCUUACAGAAGCUAUCAGAGCUGAUGGGUGGCGGUAGGCUGCAACGAGAAGACCUGAGACUUCCUGGACAACAGCAAUCACCAGAUGCCAGAGAGGCUCCCUCCCAUCGCCAGCUAUACAGCGUGUGCAGGUGAGCCCUGUCAACAGCCAUGCCAUCGAGGGAAAUGAUGGAUUCCAUUAUCCGAAAGCCAUAGGACUUCCCAAACUCCAUCCUGCCCACUAAUCACGAAACUACAAAGCCAGUGAGCUGAGAAGAUGAGGAAAAGUAAGCGUGCUAACCGCUGAACAGGAAAGACUUCUGAUAAACAGCAUAAUUCGAUGCCCAAAGGUACAGAAUCCAAAGACAGGAAAUUCCAGGACUCCUAAGAGAGAAGCUGCCUUCAGCGUCAAGUUCCUGGCCUGUACAAAUCCAAAGAUCCCGCCUCAGUCUACCUGACCAGACAUUGGUCAUUGGCUCUUCAAUCAAAAACCAAAU